rnacentral:lncRNA from 1 species
UCGGUGACCUAUAUUUUUUAUUAUUGUUUUCAAAUAAGCUGUACAUAAACUAAAUAAUUGUCAAAUUUAAGCGAGUUCUGUAAUUAGGUUAUUUUUUAUUUCGAUAUUACCUCUAUUUCUCCUAUUAGCUGAACAGAAAAAAAGGACAUUAACAAAAAUGUAGGCUUCUUCCGGAGGCAGAUUGUGAGCUUAAAUGAACGGUGACCCCAUUUUUUAUUUCAUUUUUCUUUUAAGUAUAUGAUAAAGUUCAUUUAUAAAAAAAUAUAGCGAAAUCCUAUAUUAGAAAAAAAAAUGAUUUAUACCCAGGAGCCACCUUAAUACAUGUAUGCAAAUAGACCAAGGUGAGCGACACAGGCUCUUAAGAGCCUCUUGUUUAAAUAUUGAUCUUUGAACUUUGAGGUAUAUGUUCGUUGAAUUUUCAGUAGCCGCCAUCUGGUUUGAUAUGGAAACCAUUUACACAACUGGGAUUUUCUUUAACACGAUACUUACAAGUUUAAUAAUUCAUCAUUCUUUCAAAAUCUUAUAUUUUUUGUCAUCGUAAAUGGCUAUUAAUCAGAUUUUAUAUUAACAACUAAUAAUAAUUAUAUAAUUACAAUAAACUGUGAAAU